ensembl:misc_RNA Metazoa_SRP Metazoan signal recognition particle RNA
GCCGGGCACGGUGGCUCAUGCCUGUAAUCCCAACACUAUGGGAGGCUGAGGUGGGCGGAUCACCUGAGGUCAGGAGUUCGAGACCAGCCUGACCAACAUGGUGAAACCCCAUCUCUA